UAAGCGGAGGAAAAGAAACCAACAGGGAUUGCCCCAGUAACGGCGAGUGAAGCGGCAACAGCUCAAAUUUGAAAUCUGGCCCCCCGGGGCCCGAGUUGUAAUUUGCAGAGGAUGCUUUUGGCGAGGCGCCUUCCGAGUUCCCUGGAACGGGACGCCACAGAGGGUGAGAGCCCCGUCUGGUUGGAUGCCGAGCCUCUGUAAAGCUCCUUCGACGAGUCGAGUAGUUUGGGAAUGCUGCUCUAAAUGGGAGGUAUAUGUCUUCUAAAGCUAAAUAUUGGCCAGAGACCGAUAGCGCACAAGUAGAGUGAUCGAAAGAUGAAAAGCACUUUGAAAAGAGGGUUAAAUAGUACGUGAAAUUGUUGAAAGGGAAGCGCUCAUGACCAGACUUGGGCCCGGUGAAUCAUCCAGCGUUCUCGCUGGUGCACUUUGCCGGGCUCAGGCCAGCAUCAGUUCGCCCCGGGGGAGAAAGGCUCUGGGAAUGUGGCUCCCCCGGGAGUGUUAUAGCCCUCUGCGCAAUGCCCUGGGGCGGACUGAGGUCCGCGC
rnacentral:rRNA from 1 species